rnacentral:lncRNA from 1 species
AAAAAUACAGUUCACAAAUCUAUAAAUGUAUGUUUGUAGGCGACCGGAUGGCUGAGUGGUAACGCUGUCGGCGUGUCACGCAGGAGGAUCCAUGUUCGCGUCCCGGAGGUGCUGGGCUCAACCCGGCGAUUCCACGGAUGUUGGUGUAGCCCGUAGUUGAAACUGGCCCUGUCCUUAGUAAUUUCUCUGAGUGGAAACAGACGUAAAAUCUGAAAAAAAUGUAUGUUUGUAAAUGUAACGUCAUGUUUUCAUUCCUUUUCCUUAAAUUAAAUUCUACGUUUUAAUAAGUUUACUGUUAUUAGUAAAAUCAUAAAAGAUCUACAUAGAUAUCUAACAUCAACAUUUUUUCAGAAUUAAACGUAAAAGAACUUAUCUUUGAACAUUUGUGUGGAUGAAAUCCUUGCUAUUUAAAAUUUUCAUCUACUAGCUUUUUAACGAAUCAUCUUUAGGAAAUGAAAACACUUUUUAGUUUGAGACCAUUUUUGUAAUUGUCCCCUAAUCCGAGAGCACAAAAAAUAAGCAUUUUCAAGAAUAUAUUAGUUUGCAAACGUGGAAAACUAGUUAAGAUAUCAUACACUCACCAAUGUAUCUCGUAGGCAAUGUCCAUACACUCUUGAUAUCACCUAUUUAUAAGAAGCCUAUUUAUAUCAAUAGUCUUUCUUAUAGUUGGCGCUGGUAACAUGAGCCAUGGAAGGCAUCUGUAUUGGGCGGAUUUAUGCUAUCCGUCUAUACCAGCAGUUCUCAACUUUUUCAUAAAUGCGUACCACCAAACUCAAAAUUCACAAAUUUCAGUACCACCAACAAAAAUAUGCCUCGAAUACAAAUAGAUUAGACACGUACCACUAGUCAAAUCUCGCCUACCACAGAUUGAGAACUAAUAGUUUAUACUAUCCUCAUGGUGGCCUGCGACAAUUCUUUUAGGCUGCAAGUAAGCUGCAUUGGGCUAUCAAACGGUGAGGUUUUUUUGUCAACAGAUGGCGUCACUUUCCAUUCUGGAGGAGUGCUGGGUGGAGGGGCGGGGCGGGCCCUUCCGCGGGCUGCCCAUCCCUGCGGGGGGGUCAGCCGGAUUGUGGGGGACGGGGAUCGACGGGCCUGGCCCAGACCCCAUGAUAAAUAUUUUCAAG